rnacentral:tRNA from 1 species
GGAUUGUGGCUCAGCGGUAGAAUGCUUGCCUAGCAUGUGCGAGGAGGCCCUGAGUUCGAUCCUCAGCACCA